GAUGAACGCUGGCGGCGUGCCUAAUACAUGCAAGUCGAGCGAACAGACGAGGAGCUUGCUCCUCUGACGUUAGCGGCGGACGGGUGAGUAACACGUGGAUAACCUACCUAUAAGACUGGGAUAACUUCGGGAAACCGGAGCUAAUACCGGAUAAUAUAUUGAACCGCAUGGUUCAAUAGUGAAAGACGGUUUUGCUGUCACUUAUAGAUGGAUCCGCGCCGCAUUAGCUAGUUGGUAAGGUAACGGCUUACCAAGGCAACGAUGCGUAGCCGACCUGAGAGGGUGAUCGGCCACACUGGAACUGAGACACGGUCCAGACUCCUACGGGAGGCAGCAGUAGGGAAUCUUCCGCAAUGGGCGAAAGCCUGACGGAGCAACGCCGCGUGAGUGAUGAAGGUCUUCGGAUCGUAAAACUCUGUUAUUAGGGAAGAACAAAUGUGUAAGUAACUAUGCACGGCUUGACGGUACCUAAUCAGAAGGCCACGGCUAACUACGUG
rnacentral:rRNA from 1 species